GACGAACGCUGGCGGCGUGCCUAAUACAUGCAAGUUGAGCGCUGAAGGUUGGUACUUGUACCAACUGGAUGAGCAGCGAACGGGUGAGUAACGCGUGGGGAAUCUGCCUUUGAGCGGGGGACAACAUUUGGAAACGAAUGCUAAUACCGCAUAAAAACUUUAAACACAAGUUUUAAGUUUGAAAGAUGCAAUUGCAUCACUCAAAGAUGAUCCCGCGUUGUAUUAGCUAGUUGGUGAGGUAAAGGCUCACCAAGGCGAUGAUACAUAGCCGACCUGAGAGGGUGGUCGGCCACAUUGGGACUGGGACACGGCCCAAACUCCUACGGGAGGCAGCAGUAGGGAAUCUUCGGCAAUGGGCGAAAGUCUGACCGAGCAACGCCGCGUGAGUGGAGAAGGUUUUCGGAUCGUAAAACUCUGUUGGUAGAGAAGAACGUUGGUGAGAGUGGAAAGCUCAUCAAGUGACGGUAACUACCCAGAAAGGGACGGCUAACUACGUG
rnacentral:rRNA from 1 species